AAUCUUGAUUGAUUUUUUUAACCAUUUUGGAUACAAAUUUGUGCUAAAACAUUGCAAUUUCUCUCUCACACAAAACUCACAUUUUGGCAUGCUCUUGAGAUCAUAAUAUAGGCUGAUUUUAGUUCGAUAUAAGUUGAGAUUCUACAUCCGCAUUUAAAAAAAUACAUUAAUAUAUUUUCCUUCCAUUUCUGAAUAAGUGUCACUUUGACAUUUUUCAUACAAGUUAAGAAAAUAGUGAAAAUAUAUGUAAAUUGUUAUUAAUUACAUCUUUCUGACCAAUAGUAUUUGAGAUAAAUAAAAUCAUUUAUAUACUAAAACGCAAGUCGCUUGGCGAAUCAGAAUCUGUCACGUAAUAUGUGUAUAAUUUUUUUAAAAAAAAAAAUCCAAGCAAAAACCUAGUCUAGAAAAGAGAAAAAAACAUCAACUGUAUUAACAGUUGUCGAAACUGCCGAUGAUCUAAGAUCCACGAUAUUUUUCUUUGUCCACGAUCUUAUUCUUUUCAUACUCAUAUAUCUUUCAGAUUCGAUUCAUAAUUAGUAGAAAUACUCCAACCAAUCAUAACAAAAAUAUGCUUCUUCUUCGAUUUCGAACCAUAUUGAAUGUCACGAACCAGAGCAGAGUUCAAUUUCUGAGUACAUUGGAUCUCCCAGCAAUCCAUAUAUCCCAGUGACGCUAUAUUACUCUAUACAGUUUUGCCAUCUUCGGCCGAGAACCAUAUUGCUUCCAUGGAAUCGGUUUAAGGCCAAAAAAGGUCGAGAAAGAGUUGAUAUGGUGGAUGUGAAUGAUAUGAAUUGCUGGAGAUUCAUCUGAGUAAAGAGACUUCAUGGUAAGACCCGCUACAAAGAGAAGGUGAGGAAGAUAAAAAGCAGAUGCAGAUGUGGUAAAAUCACAUGAAGGCCUUUUUUGGUAAAAAAAAAUCUCAUGAAGGCCUUUUGACAAAAGGUAAAAGCUCUUCCAUUAAUUCACCGCUUUCAGAUUGUUAAAGUGUCCUACUGUAAAAUAUAGCAUGAAAUAGAUUGGAAACACUUUUGAAAAUACCAUAAUGAAUAUUUUGACAUAGUUACCCUAUUAUUUCAAUGUUUCUGAUUUUCGGUAAAAAUGGUUUAUGUUUGCUUCUAGGGACAAAAGAAACAUGAAGUGUUGAAGAUAACAAAUUGAUGCUGCCAUGGGAACAAUGAUUAAUUUCGGAAAACAAAAGUAACAGAGUAGAUUUUCUACAUGUCUAUGUUAAUUGUUUCAGUUUCUUUGUAAAUUGGUUCAUAGUUCGCUGCUAUCAACUCCCUUUUUUUUUUUAAGUAUUUGAUAUGUCAAAUCAGUUUUCACUUUACUCCUCUUAAAUGCCAGGAAAAGUAUGCAAGGAAAAGUAUGCGUUCAGACAAUCAGAUUCAUAAAUGUUUUUAAUCUCAAAGGUAUUUUCACGGUUCUCUUUCUCGCAUAUCAUACAAUAAAUAAAAAGGGAAUAUGCUCAAAAGAGAAGCAUGCCACGUCAGAUUUAAAAAUCAUCCAAUAAAAAUCUUACAAAGUGUCAUGUCAUAUUGAUUUAUGUCUGAGAAUAAAAAUUAUUGUUUCAUUGGACUUCGUCCUUCUGCGGCCCAGCAACACAGGUAAAGAAACCAUAUCGACUCUUUUCUUCGACUUCGUCUUCUCCUUUCCUCUUCAUCCAAUCUCCGUUACUGAGCCUCAUCUACCAUCAAUCAAUGGUGUUCUUCAGUACCCUCUUAAUGAGUUCGUUUCACCUCCCUCUUUAUCUCCUUCCAUAUAAACCACUUUGUCUUAAGUUGCUUCGAUUCAAUCCCAAAAACCUCCUCUGUUGAAACUAUAGCAAAGAAACCAAACGGCAAGUUCACUAUGUUCCACUAUCUUGCUUUUGUUUGUUAUUCAAUUAACCAAAAUAGUGUCAGUUUCAAUUAAACUGCCAUGUUGAUCGCAGAAGCCAUUGUUUGCCAUUGCUCUUGCGAUGGCUUCCACUGAUUUUAUGCUUCAUCAAAUCUGAUUUGGUUUUCUCUUAUUUUUUCCACACCAGGGGUUGAUUUUGGGAGCACUUUUCUUGCAGCCUAGCUUCCUGGUAAGGGUUGAGGUUAUGUAAGUCUAGGGUUGAGGUAAUGUAAGUCUAGGGUUGAGGUAAUGUAAGUCUUUGCUGGGUUUGGUUUAACGAUGUGGGGGUGAGGCUCUUAUUUUUGUUGCAUAUUUAUUCUCCUCUUAGACCUUGUGAGAAAUAGUAAUUUUUUUUUUGUCAGAUUAAUUGAGCUUAGAAUCAUAAUUCUAUUUUCUCUGGCCGUAAUGUUCAUUACUUAGUGAAACAGGAUCAGAACAGGUACAGUGCAAGUAGAGGAGCUCAUUUGAAUCUCAAGAGAGCUGAGAAAGCACGUGUUCUGGUUAGCAAGAUUACUGCCAUGGUGGACACAUUGGUUGCUAAGACCAGAGCUUGGGAAGAGGAACACAACAUGUCUUUUGCAUACGAUGGUUCCUCUGCUAGCUAUGUUAGAUGAGUAUGGUAUGCUUACUGCUUAGUCAAGAACGGGAAGAUGAGAAACGGAGGCUGAGGGAACAAAAGAAGGUUCAAGAACAGCCACACGUGGAGCAAGACACUGCCUUCAGCACCAGGCCAAGCCCUGCGAGACCAGUGAGUGCAAAGAAACCGGUGGGGGCACGAGCUAGCAACGGAGGAGCCAAUGGAACACCAAACCGGCGUCUGUCUUUGAAUGCAAACCAGAACGGAAGCAGGUCUGUUGUAAAGGAAGGAGGGAGAAGUGUGUGUAAUUUUGCUAUUGUAAACUUGAAAAUUUCAUGAAGGAAAUAGUUCAUUUGAGGUUUCAGCUA